GCCAACCGAUGAGCAUCACAAGCAGAAAAGAAGAGAAAAAAAGAGAAGAGGACUGCUAGAGAAUUAGGCUGCUUUCACACUGGGAUCUGGGAUAGUCUUCCGUGCUGGCGUCAUAUGUGCAGCGAAUGUUGAUCAUUUUCACAUCUUCGUCUGGCUUGGUUUUCUUUUUCAGAGGCAAACCAAGGACAGAAGUGGACCAAACUGCCUGGAAUGACAAUGCAAUCCAUCCGCCCCUCAAUCCUGGAUGAUAUUGUCCGACCAAGACGAGGAAAAAAAACAAGAGGAAGAGCAGGAAGUCCUGCUAAUCCCCAAAAUACAUCACAGAAAUAAAGGUCUCUGGGCUGCUGGAGCCUAUCCAGGCCACUCGUAGGCAAAGGCAGGGGACAUCCUGGACGGGUCAAAAGUCUGUCUUUUCACCCCUGCCAAAAAAAUGGACUGUCCAAACCAACAAAUCUGGUGUAAAUCAAUCCUGCCAGAUGAAGCUGAGUGGGUACUUCUCCUGCAGGGAUGGCGGACAUUCACGACCAAGCAGGUCCAUUCAGUCUCCCUAAAAGUGUACCUCAGGAGUAUUCAAACUUUUUGCAAAAAGGGUCAGUUUUAGUGGGGUGAAAAUGUUUGAGGGCCAAAUUUGACCUGCAUUCUUUGACCACUUUUAAACAACAUUAAAUGCAAAUAAACGGUUUAACCUAUUCAGACCUGAACUCCAGUUUGAUAAGCAUUUAUUAUUUUAUAGUUACAGGGCUCCAGUUAAGCAGUAUCAACUACUGUGGUAAUGUAUCCCAAAACGUGAUGUCCACGUGGAAAAGCCAGGUCUUAAGAGGUUAAUGAACAUUUUAUUGCAAUAGCAUACUUCUCAUUUACACAUGGAAAAAACAAAACAAAAGCAUCUACCAAAAUCAAUAUCCAAUCAUUGCUUAUUCCCAGCUGUCAUAGUUUUUUAGACUUUAUUAAAUGUAACAAUUCAAUGCACAACAAUGCAAAACAGCAACAAGAAAGGAACAAACAGGGGGGUUAUUAUUACAUUUUACACAAAUACGUUGAAACUGACGCACAGAUCGAAUAAUUUAAUGGCUUUCUUAUUGUCAGAGUUUCUUAUUGUGUUCAUGUAUUGUUUGAUCUCAUUGAUUAAGAUAGAAAAAUGAGGGGUAGGAUUUGUAGGAUUUAUGAAUGUGCCACUUCCAUAAAAACAAUAAAAGGUUAAUGAUG